rnacentral:rRNA from 1 species
UUGUUGCAGUUAAAAAGCUCGUAGUUGGACUUUAGGCAAGGCGGCCUGGUCACCCUCUGGGUGUACUGGGAUCGCUGCGCCUCACCUUCGGGGAGCUAGUCGUGCUUCGGUGCGCUAGGGAACCGAGCCUUACCUUGAGGAAAUUAGAGUGUUUAAAGCAGGCUUAUGCUUGAAUACGUUAGCAUGGAAUAACAUGAUAGGACUUUGGUUCUAUUUUGUUGGUUUGAGGACCAAAGUAAUGAUUAAUAGGGACAGUUGGGGGCAUUAGUAUUCAAUAGUCAGAGGUGAAAUUCUUGGAUUUAUUGAAGACUAACUAAUGCGAAAGCAUUUGCCAAGGAUGUUUUCAUUAAUCAAGAACGAAAGUUAGGGGAUCGAAGACGAUUAGAUACCGUCGUAGUCUUAACCAUAAACUAUGCCGACUAGGGAUCGGUGGAAGUCGAUUUUGACUCCAUCGGCACCUUACGAGAAGUCAAAGUUUUUGGGUUCUGGGGGGAGUAUGGUCGCAAGGCUGAAACUUAAAGGAAUUGACGGAAGGGCACCACCAGGAGUGGAGCCUGCGGCUUAAUUUGACUCAACACGGGAAAACUCACCAGGUCCGGACAUGGGAAGGAUUG